GACGAACGCUGGCGGCGUGCUUAACACAUGCAAGUCGAACGAAGUGGCGAACGGGUGAGUAACGCGUAAUCAACCUGCCCUUCAGAGGGGGACAACAGUUGGAAACGACUGCUAAUACCCCAUACUGAAGGGGGGGAUUGCGUCGGAUUAGCUAGUUGGGGGGGUAACGGCCCACCAAGGCGAUGAUCAGUAGGCGGGCUGGAAGGAUGAACGGCCAAAAUGGGACUGGGACACGGCCCAGACUCCUACGGGAGGCAGCAGUGGGGAAUCUUCCGCAAUGGACGAAAGGCUGACGGAGCAACGCCGGGUGAGUGAUGACGGCCUUCGGGUUGUAAAGCUCUGUUAAUCGGGACGCGGUACCGGAAUAGAAAGCCACGGCUAACUACGUGCCAGCAGCCGCGGUAAUUC
rnacentral:rRNA from 1 species